UACGUAGGGGGCUAGCGUUGUCCGGAAUCAUUGGGCGUAAAGCGCGUGUAGGCGGUCCGGUAAGUCCGCUGUGAAAGUCGGGGGCUCAACCCUCGGAUGCCGGUGGAUACUGUCGGGCUUGAGUACGGAAGAGGCGAGUGGAAUUCCUGGUGUAGCGGUGAAAUGCGCAGAUAUCAGGAGGAACACCAAUAGCGAAGGCAGCUCGCUGGGACGUGACUGACGCUGGGACGCGAAAGCGUGGGGAGCAAACAGG
rnacentral:rRNA from 1 species